rnacentral:lncRNA from 1 species
ACAUGUACAAUGCAUUCUUUGAAUCAAUAUCUUUAUCUACCAAAAGAAAAGCUUAAGUAGUACUAAGUGGGUGUGUAAAGUCUAUUGAGAAUAUGAGAUAUAAUACUUUAAAUAGAUCAUAAUAUUUCGAAUAAUCCUAAAUAACAAAAUUCAGGGCUCAUUUAUACAUAUAUAUCCAUGCAUCUCGAAUAGCCAAUCGAUGGGAUUGGAGAACUACUCAUGCAAUACACAUGUACAAUGA